GCGGUGACCACUCUGUCCCCAGCCUCUCCAAAGCUGCAGCUGAUCAAAGCCAUCAGAGCAUCACAAGUGCUGCAGCCGGAGAAAAAGCGACCAGAUAACUCUCCUGCUGGUCUCAGUGCUGGAUGCCUGAUUGAACGCUGAGCAGAUAACGGCCAAGAGGAUAGAGAAGGCGCUCAUAGGUUCCUGCCUGAUUCAUCCUUUUGUUCCUGCCUCUCAGUCCUGCUUCACCAACCGGAUAAAGAGUUUUGCUAGGUGACGUGAUUCUGAUCUACAAUCUAACAGAUAUUUGCUCUUCAAGAAUAAGGAGGACCCUGACUACCACAAGGGGUUUCUGGCUGGAGGAAGUAUGACGGAUAACAGGCAGGAUGAGCCCAAAUCAUCCCACUGGGCACCGGGACAGCUCAGUGAGGCCGCUCCUCUCCCUCACACAACAGAUAUGAAAGAACAAGGGGGGGCAGGAGAUGGAAUGGUCCACAGCUCCAAUGGCAUUCCCUUCAGAGAGACGGGCAGAGCGUAUGGGGAGAGGGAUCUUCAAGAAUCACAUGCUACAAGCAAAGAGAAUGGCAUCAAUGGAGAGAUGCCAUCUAGAGACUCGGAGACGGCAGAGGAGGUAUCUGCACGCAUAGUCCAAGUAGUAACUGCUGAUGCUGUAGCGGUCCUGAGAGGUGAACAGGAGAAGGAAGUCCAACUCAAGGGCCCUCCAGGAGAUCUGCCAUUAGCUGUGGAAGAUACGACCAAUCUCCCUCCUUCUCCUCCUCCUUCGCCAGCAUCAGAACAAAUGGGAACAGUGGAGGAAGGUAAGGUCAUAUAGUAAGAUUAGUGUCAUGCAAAUUUGGAGAUAUAACAGAUAGUGCAAAGCAUAAGAUGAAAAGAAUGCUUGUAACUAGUGGACAAAGUUCAGAAGAGCUUGAUCCUCUUCUCAUCGUGCUUUAGAUAUCUUUCUUUGUAUCUGCCCCCUACUAUUAACAUACACCAUCUCCAUAAUGCAUUAUGUAUCUUCACUAAAUCUCAUACAAGAAAAUGAAGUUGCAAAAUGAAGCCUCCUGGAGUCAAUCCUCAAAUUCUUCAAGUCAAGUUUUCUUGUACUUUGAUUUCUCAGUUUUUUCUUCCCGAAAUAGUCACAUAAAAGCCUAAAACAACAUGUAAAACAGAACGUAUGUUUUGCACGACAUGUAUGUCCAGACGAGUAUACUUUUAGGAAACCCUUGUCAAAAGUACCAGUUUCUGACAUUUGCUUCCCCCCAACCCAGACAUAGAAUUUUGGCUCACUAGUCCACUCUCCUUACUGACCUCAGUAGACUGAAAGUGUGAUGUCUGUGGUCUUAUGG